rnacentral:rRNA from 1 species
ACACAUGCAAGUCGAACGAUGAUUAUCUAGCUUGCUAGAUAUGAUUAGUGGCGGACGGGUGAGUAACAUUUAGGAAUCUGCCUAGUAGUGGGGGAUAGCUCGGGGAAACUCGAAUUAAUACCGCAUACGACCUACGGGUGAAAGGGGGCGCAAGCUCUUGCUAUUAGAUGAGCCUAAAUCAGAUUAGCUAGUUGGUGGGGUAAAGGCCCACCAAGGCGACGAUCUGUAACUGGUCUGAGAGGAUGAUCAGUCACACCGGAACUGAGACACGGUCCGGACUCCUACGGGAGGCAGCAGUGGGGAAUAUUGGACAAUGGGGGCAACCCUGAUCCAGCCAUGCCGCGUGUGUGAAGAAGGCCUUUUGGUUGUAAAGCACUUUAAGCAGGGAGGAGAGGCUAAUGGUUAAUACCCAUUAGAUUAGACGUUACCUGCAGAAUAAGCACCGGCUAACUCUGUGCCAGCAGCCGCGGUAAUACAGAGGGUGCGAGCGUUAAUCGGAAUUACUGGGCGUAAAGCGAGUGUAGGUGGCUCAUUAAGUCACAUGUGAAAUCCCCGGGCUUAACCUGGGAACUGCAUGUGAUACUGGUGGUGCUAGAAUAUGUGAGAGGGAAGUAGAAUUCCAGGUGUAGCGGUGAAAUGCGUAGAGAUCUGGAGGAAUACCGAUGGCGAAGGCAGCUUCCUGGCAUAAUAUUGACACUGAGAUUCGAAAGCGUGGGUAGCAAACAGGAUUAGAUACCCUGGUAGUCCACGCCGUAAACGAUGUCUACUAGCCGUUGGGGUCCUUGAGACUUUAGUGGCGCAGUUAACGCGAUAAGUAGACCGCCUGGGGAGUACGGCCGCAAGGUUAAAACUCAAAUGAAUUGACGGGGGCCCGCACAAGCGGUGGAGCAUGUGGUUUAAUUCGAUGCAACGCGAAGAACCUUACCUGGUCUUGACAUAGUGAGAAUCCUGCAGAGAUGCGGGAGUGCCUUCGGGAAUUCACAUACAGGUGCUGCAUGGCUGUCGUCAGCUCGUGUCGUGAGAUGUUGGGUUAAGUCCCGCAACGAGCGCAACCCUUUUCCUUAUUUGCCAGCGGGUUAAGCCGGGAACUUUAAGGAUACUGCCAGUGACAAACUGGAGGAAGGCGGGGACGACGUCAAGUCAUCAUGGCCCUUACGACCAGGGCUACACACGUGCUACAAUGGUAGGUACAGAGGGUUGCUACACAGCGAUGUGAUGCUAAUCUCAAAAAGCCUAUCGUAGUCCGGAUUGGAGUCUGCAACUCGACUCCAUGAAGUCGGAAUCGCUAGUAAUCGCAGAUCAGAAUGCUGCGGUGAAUACGUUCCCGGGCCUUGUACACACCGCCCGUCACACCAUGGGAGUCUAUUGCACCAGAAGUAGGUAGCCUAACGCAAGAGGGCGC